AUUAUUGGUACCGGAAUGGGUUGCGUACCAUAAGGUAGUUGCCGGGUAACGGCCCAACCAAGCGACGAUGNUAAGGGUUUUUGAGAGGAAGUUCCCCCACAUGGGAUUGAGACACGUUCCAGAUUCNUACGGGAGUCAGCAGUGAGGAAUAUUGGACAAUGGCCGAGAGGCUGAUCCAGCCAUGCCGCGUGCGGGAAGACGGCCNUAUGGGUUGUAAACCGCUUUUGUUGGGGAGCAAUAAGGGUCACGAGUGACCCGAUGAGAGUACCCAGCGAAUAAGCAUCGGCUAACUCCGUGCCAGCAGCCGCGGUAAUACGGAGGAUGCAAGCGUUAUCCGGAUUUAUUGGGUUUAAAGGGUGCGUAGGCGGAUGCCUAAGCGUGAGGUGAAAUCCCCGGGCUCAACCUGGGAACUGCCUCGCGAACUGGGUGUCUGGAAUGCCCCUGCCGUGGGAGGAAUGUGUGGUGUAGCGGUGAAAUGCAUAGAGAUCACACAGAACACCGAUUGCGAAGGCAUCUCACGAAUGGGGUGAUUGACGCUGAGGCACGAAAGCGUGGGGAUCAAACAGGAAUUAGAUAACUCUGUAGUUCCCCUGAAUUAUGCAGAGAUCCUGCAUCAAUGGCGACCGCUAAGACGCGGCUCAUUAGAGGGCCCAAUGCAGCUCGCCACCCCUGAGCGCUGGUUACAAUUAUCCCGG
rnacentral:rRNA from 1 species